rnacentral:rRNA from 1 species
CCCUACGGGGCGCAGCAGGCGGGAAGCACUCCCAACUAUUUCAGUGGUCAGCAGCGGGGCUAUUACUCCGGCGGCAGUUUCUCCGGCCGCUGGCACAGUACCGCCGAAUAUCCGGUCACCGUGGAGGUGCCCCGGAUCAAGAGCGGCUGUGGCGGUAUUGAUGUGUUCAUGGGGGGCUUCAGCUUCAUGAACACCGAUUACCUGGUCAACAAACUCCAAGCCAUCCUUGCGGGUGCCCCGGCUGUGGCCUUCGAUCUGGCUUUGAAAACCCUCUGUGAGCAGUGCUCGAACACCAUCAAGAACUGCGAGGCUCUAGCCGACAACCUCAACUCCAUGCAACUCGAUGAGUGUUCCGCCUCCAAGGAAUUGGCGGGAGGGC